rnacentral:tRNA from 1 species
GGGCACUUAGCUCAGUUGGUAGAGCAGCUGACUCUUAAUCAGUAGGUCGUAGGUUCGAAUCCUACAGUGCCCACCA